UACGACUACAUAUCAGGCAUAUCAAUAAGCGGAGGAAAAGAAACUAACAAGGAUUCCCUUGGUAACGGCGAGUGAAGCGGGAAGAGCUCAAAUUUGAAAUCUUCAAGGUUUUACCUUGACGAAUUGUAGUUUAAAGAAGUGUUUUCUGUUGAAGUUUUGGUAAAAGUUCUUUGGAAUAGGACAUCAUAGAGGGUGAGAAUCCCGUAUUUGACCAUUAUUUUCAGCUGUGUGAUACACUUUCAAAGAGUCGGAUUGUUUGGGAAUGCAGUCCAAAAUGGGUGGUAAAUUUCAUCUAAAGCUAAAUAUUGGCGAGAGACCGAUAGCGAACAAGUACCGUGAGGGAAAGAUGAAAAGAACUUUGAAAAGAGAGUUAAACAGUACGUGAAAUUGUCAAAAGGGAAGCGUUUGACACCAGUGUUGUUUUCUCGAAAAUUAAUUAAAAAGAGUUGGAUUUUGUGUUGUAUUGACCUUAACAGCUUGCUUCACUCUUUUCCAGCUUUUUUUAAUGCACUUUUCGUUUAACAAGUCAACAUCAGUUUCUUUUGUUGUAAAAGGGUCAUUGGAAGGUGGCUUUCUCUUCGGAGAAAGUGUUUAUAGCCUUUGAUCUCUGCAAUCGGAGAGACUGAGGUCUGCAGCGUAGAUCCUUCGGGGUUAGAUACAUUUGUGCUAAGCUACAGCUUUUCAUAGACAACUUGUUGACUAUGUUUAGUCUUGUGACUUACCCGCUUAUGCUAUUUUACCUACGCUUAGGAUGUUGAGCGCAUGUCUCUCUCU
rnacentral:rRNA from 1 species